rnacentral:rRNA from 1 species
GGGCCCGCACAAGCGGUGGAGUAUGUGGUUUAAUUCGAUGCAACGCGAAGAACCUUACCAGGGUUUGACAUCCUGCGAAUCUCUUGGAAACAGGAGAGUGCCUUCGGGAACGCAGUGACAGGUGGUGCAUGGCUGUCGUCAGCUCGUGUCGUGAGAUGUUGGGUUAAGUCCCGCAACGAGCGCAACCCACGUCUUUAGUUGCCAGCAUUUAGUUGGGCACUCUAGAGAGACUGCCGGUGAUAAACCGGAGGAAGGUGUGGAUGACGUCAAGUCCUCAUGGCCCUUACGGGUUGGGCUACACACGUGCUACAAUGGUAGUGACAAUGGGUUAAUCCCAAAAAGCUAUCUCA